UACGGGGGGAGCAAGCGUUGUUCGGAUUUACUGGGCGUAAAGGGCGCGUAGGCGGCCACCGCAAGUCGACUGUGAAAUCUCCGGGCUUAACCCGGAAAGGUCAGCCGAUACUGCGGGGCUAGAGUGCAGAAGGGGCAACUGGAAUUCUCGGUGUAGCGGUGAAAUGCGUAGAUAUCGAGAGGAACACCUGUGGCGAAGGCGGCUCACUGGCCCGAUACUGACGCUGAGGUGCGAAAGCGUGGGGAGCAAACAGG
rnacentral:rRNA from 1 species